rnacentral:rRNA from 1 species
AACGCUAGCUACAGGCUUAACACAUGCAAGUCGAGGGGAAACGAUAUUGGAAGCUUGCUUCCGAUAGGCGUCGACCGGCGCACGGGUGAGUAACGCGUAUCCAACCUGCCCAUCACUUGGGAAUAACCUUGCGAAAGUAAGACUAAUGCCCAAUGACAUUUAUAGAAGGCAUCUGAAAUGAAUUAAAGAUUUAUCGGUGAUGGAUGGGGAUGCGUCUGAUUAGCUUGUUGGCGGGGUAACGGCUCACCAAGACUUCGAUGGAUAGGGGUUCUGAGAGGAAGGUCCCCCACAUUGGAACUGAGACACGGUCCAAACUCCUACGGGAGGCAGCAGUGAGGAAUAUUGGUCAAUGGGCGAGAGCCUGAACCAGCCAAGUAGCGUGAAGGAUGACUGCCCUAUGGGUUGUAAACUUCUUUUAUAUAGGAAUAAAGUGAGCCACGUGUGGCUUUUUGUAUGUACUAUAUGAAUAAGGAUCGGCUAACUCCGUGCCAGCAGCCGCGGUAAUACGGAGGAUCCAAGCGUUAUCCGGAUUUAUUGGGUUUAAAGGGAGCGUAGGCGGAAGCUUAAGUCAGUCUGUGAAAGUUUGCGGCUCAACCGUAAAAUUGCAGUUGAUACUGGGUUUCUUGAGUACAGUAGAGGUAAGCGGAAUUCGUGGUGUAGCGGUGAAAUGCUUAGAUAUCACGAAGAACUCCGAUUG